rnacentral:rRNA from 1 species
AUGCUAGUGAAGUCCGGAAAAGGCGAAUAUGGAGCUCAUGAGGGAAUAUUAUCAACGGACAAGAACGAUUUGCUCUUUCAGCGGUUUCGGAUGAACUACAACAACGACCCGGAGAUGUUCCAGAAGGGUUCGUGUACUUGCCAGCGAAAGGUAUUCUGUUCAUCAUCCGAGAGAUGUUUUUCAACAGCAAUGAGAAGUACUGCUAUGAUGAGAAGAAGAUGA